GUGUAGCGGUGAAAUGCGUAGAGAUCUGGAGGAAUACCGGUGGCGAAGGCGGCCCCCUGGACAAAGACUGACGCUCAGGUGCGAAAGCGUGGGGAGCAAACAGGAUUAGAUACCCUGGUAGUCCACGCCGUAAACGAUGUCUACUUGGAGGUUGUGCCCUUGAGGCGUGGCUUCCGGAGCUAACGCGUUAAGUAGACCGCCUGGGGAGUACGGCCGCAAGGUUAAAACUCAAAUGAAUUGACGGGGGCCCGCACAAGCGGUGGAGCAUGUGGUUUAAUUCGAUGCAACGCGAAGAACC
rnacentral:rRNA from 1 species